CCUACGGGAGGCAGCAGUGGGCAAUUUUGGACAAUGGGCGAAAGCCUGAUCCAGCUAUGCCGCGUGUGAAGAAGGCCUUCGGGUUGUAAAGCACUUUUGUCCGGAAAGAAAUCCUUGGCUCUAAUACAGUCGGGGGAUGACGGUACCGGAAGAAUAAGCACCGGCUAACUACGUGCCAGCAGCCGCGGUAAUACGUAGGGUGCGAGCGUUAAUCGGAAUUACUGGGCGUAAAGCGUGCGCAGGCGGUUUGCUAAGACCGAUGUGAAAUCCCCGGGCUCAACCUGGGAACUGCAUUGGUGACUGGCAGGCUAGAGUAUGGCAGAGGGGGGUAGAAUUCCACGUGUAGCAGUGAAAUGCGUAGAGAUGUGGAGGAAUACCGAUGGCGAAGGCAGCCCCCUGGGCCAAUACUGACGCUCAUGCACGAAAGCGUGGGGAGCAAACAGGGUUAGAUACCCUGGUAGUCCACGCCCUAAACGAUGUCAACUAGUUGUUGGGGAUUCAUUUCCUUAGUAACGUAGCUAACGCGUGAAGUUGACCGCCUGGGGAGUACGGUCGCAAGAUUAAAACUCAAAGGAAUUGACGGGGACCCGCACAAGCGGUGGAUGAUGUGGAUUAAUUCGAUGCAACGCGAAAAACCUUACCUACCCUUGACAUGGUCGGAAUCCCGCUGAGAGGUGGGAGUGCUCGAAAGAGAACCGGCGCACAGGUGCUGCAUGGCUGUCGUCAGCUCGUGUCGUGAGAUGUUGGGUUAAGUCCCGCAACGAGCGCAACCCUUGUCCUUAGUUGCUACGCAAGAGCACUCUAAGGAGACUGCCGGUGACAAACCGGAGGAAGGUGGGGAUGACGUCAAGUCCUCAUGGCCCUUAUGGGUAGGGCUUCACACGUCAUACAAUGGUCGGAACAGAGGGUUGCCAACCCGCGAGGGGGAGCUAAUCCCAGAAAACCGAUCGUAGUCCGGAUUGCACUCUGCAACUCGAGUGCAUGAAGCUGGAAUCGCUAGUAAUCGCGGAUCAGCAUGCCGCGGUGAAUACGUUCCCGGGCCUUGUACACACCGCC
rnacentral:rRNA from 1 species